rnacentral:lncRNA from 1 species
CGGUUACAUUUAUUAUUUUAUGUAGUGCUUAUAAUAAAACAUUAUCUAUUUAAAGUUGGUGUCUAUGUGUUUUCUUAAUAUAGCCUAUUACCGGUAUUAUUUUAUAUAUUACAGGCGUACAGUAAAUGGUGUAUGAGUUUACAGUAGGUGUGUAUCUCAUAUGUAUAGUGUAUUUACAGUAGGUGUGUGUAUACGUGUUUCCUCGUGUCUCAGUUUCCGCCUCCAUUUUGUCAGUGGUGUGUGUUUUUGUGUGUCUCUGCUAAAGCCAGUGAGGAGGAAUAACACACACACACUAACUCUUCAGCGGGUUUAUUUUUACACAGACCACCAGAAAUGGACGGCAUUGGUGACGUCGCAGUUGGUGUAAAGGUAAACACUGUUUUCAGUAUCCUUUGUGCAGUAUGUAGUCUGAAUGAUGGAUAGGUGGUUACUAAAGUAAUCUCAUGGAGGAUUUUACAGUGCAAUAGCAACCUGACAAAGACAGCACAGUACAUCAUGCAUAACUAUGAAUAUGAUCAGGAUUUAGUUUUUUAAUAGAUGGCUGCCUGUUGCAGUGGUGAAAACAAGUGGAAACCACAACAGAAAUUUGACCCCAUAGAUACCAGAGGAGUCUGGUUAGUUGUUUCCUCUACCACUGUUACAUAAUAAACUAGGGUAAAUAUAUAUUUUUUAAAUAAUUACUCUGAGAUAGGGUCUCUCGAUUGCAAAAUUGGCAUGUAAUUAAAUGCUAUACAAAUAAUUGGUCUUUAAAGUGUCAGAUUUGCCAUUAAGCUUAAUGCAGAUGCACCUGUAGAAGCAGUAUAUUUGCAUUGAACUUGGAAUGUUUAAGUCUUUGUACAUAAAUAUUGAACAUGAAUAUAAGUACUCAUAUUUUUUAUCUUAAUAGUAAUACCUUAAAUAAUAAAUUGUGCAAAUAUUUUAAAUAUUGUUUUUUUUUUUUUUCCUUCAUGUUGUAUGGAACCCAGCCACCCUUAAUAUUGCAUUAUGGCAAUAUAAUAUUGAUGAUGAUGAUUAUUUUUUAAUAUUGGAAUAUUAUCCAAUAGUAUUUCCACCCUACAUUUGUCACAUUAACAUUCCAUUUUAAGCCAGUCUGAAACCCAUGAGUCAUUAACCUCGCAAAUGUUUCCAAAAUAUGACAUUAUGUAUGAUAAAUGCAAGUGAAUUUUUAGCUUUCACGCUUAUGUGCAUUUCUUGCCGUAUUUGCUUAAAAUGGCCUUGCUUAAAAUUUCAAUGGCAAUGUCUGAUUGGAAUUAAAAAUGAACAGUAAUUGUUGUUAUCUUAGACCUACACUGCUAUCUCACGCUUUCUUAUCCUUGGUUCAUCCAAACAUUGGCAAACUUUGCAUAGUUGCCAUUAACAGCCAGAAUAGGAUCUACACAUUUUUGGUGGUAGAUUAAUACUGACCUUUAUGAAUUUGGGUCACUGAAAGUUUAUCCAGUUUUGUCUUUAAUUAUUGCUGUCCUGUCGGACUUAUAAGCUAUAGGAUAGAAUAUGUCUUCGCCAAUUUUACUGUCACCUCAUUCAAAAAUACAAUGUAUGCUUUUUUUAGUAUUGCUGUCAGUAACAUAAUUUGUCUUCACAGGGUUUAGCAUUUAUUUCCUCUCUUUUUUUAAACGUAUUUGCGUAUUGUGUGGCGUCAAAGCCACACGAAAAAAGACAAAAAAGCCUAGGGUGAUGCAAACGUAAUUUGUUUUUGAAUGGACAAAGAAUUGCCAAGCCAUUUAAGUGCAUUAUUGGAUAUUAUGUGGCUGAUUCUUUGUCGUUGAAAGAAAAGUGUUGUGCGGAAAUGUAGAAUUGUCCCUUAUAUAUUAGAUACAGGCCUGUUACAGGUCUCCAUCUCCGCUUUUCAUAAAAUUAGGCUGGUAGUAAUUGAAUGGGGGCAGUUUAUGUCCAAGAUAGUUAGAGAAGAACUUGUUCUUUUCCAGAGAUGCCUUCUGAACACAGGCCUUUUAACUCGGUUUGUUUGCCAACAACAGAAUUUUCCUCCCCGGAAAACAAUGUUAGCUGGUCUUUCUGGGAAAGCAGGUGGAAAAAGAAGCAUUUGAUCUUAUUGCUUUAAAGGUCCGUUUUUUUUUUUAUUUUUCUAUUUUUUUUUCAGUUCUUAAAGUACGUUUGUUUUUUUUUUCAUUUUUUUUUUUCAUUCUAAUCAGUUUUGAUGCUGAGGCUUGUCUGUUAAGACCUUGCCAUCUCUUAAUGCAUUCUUCUGCUUUCGGUCGUUUCGAUGUGAAACUUCACCAUUCCCUUGAUUGUUUGUAGUGUCGAUGCCCAGAAGGCAGCAGCGGCAGCUGGGUUUAUUGGCGCCGUAAAAGCAGCGUCCAUAAAGAACAAUUCGGUGGAAUUUUGGAAGGCACAAACCUGAGAUGAUCCUAUUAGGAAGUUUGGUUUGCGCCGGUUCGCCAUGUGCCUGCCGUCCCAUCCGUCACUUUUAGCUGCACUUCAAGCGGCGGCCUGAUCGCGCCGGGGCCCUUCGGGAAUGUGGGCAGCUCAGGAUGAGAUGACAGUGUCUGACAUACUUAGACUCAACAAGAUUAAAGCAACAAUCUAGAAAAAUAAGGCGGAAAGGCAGAAGCGUGUGGACGUGUGUGAGAUGACAGUAGUCUGACAUCUUAGACUCAACAAGAUUAAAGACAACAAUCUAGAAAAAUAAAGGCGGAAAGGCAGA